rnacentral:lncRNA from 1 species
GCAAGCCCAGGAAAGUCAGGGGCCUAUGUGAGCCAAAGAGGAGAGAAGGCGAUGCCUCAGCCCAGUGUUUCUGCCCCACCUGGCUUGUGGCCUUGGGGACUUGAUUUGCACCGCAGGAAAAUGGGCAAUGAAAGCCCCUCCCUGACUGGCUUCUCAGUCCACUCUGACCAGCCCACCGCACAGCGCCCACCCUGCAGCUCCAGGUACAGCCUGUGUACCUGCAGCUCCAG